CAAGUCGAACGGUGUCCCGGCUUCGGCGGGGGCAUAGUGGCGCACGGGUGAGUAACGCGUGGGAACCUGCCCUGUGGUACGGAACAACUCCGGGAAACUGGAGCUAAUACCGUAUGCGUCCUGCGGGACAAAGAUUGCAUCGCCAUGGGAGGGGCCCGCGUAGGAUUAGCUGGUUGGCGGGGUAACGGCCCACCAAGGCUCCGAUCCUUAGCUGGUCUGAGAGGAUGAUCAGCCACACUGGGACUGAGACACGGCCCAGACUCCUACGGGAGGCAGCAGUGGGGAAUAUUGGACAAUGGGCGCAAGCCUGAUCCAGCAAUGCCGCGUGAGUGAUGAAGGCCUUCGGGUUGUAAAGCUCUUUCGCACGCGACGAUGAUGACGGUAGCGUGACAAGAAGCCCCGGCUAACUUCGUGCCAGCAGCCGCGGUAAUACGAAGGGGGCGAGCGUUGCUCGGAAUUACUGGGCGUAAAGGGCGCGUAGGCGGUGCACCAAGUCAGGCGUGAAGGCCCCGGGCUCAACCUGGGAACGGCGCUUGAGACUGGUGCGCUCGAGUUCGGGAGAGGAUGGUGGAAUUCCCAGUGUAGAGGUGAAAUUCGUAGAUAUUGGGAAGAACACCGAUGGCGAAGGCAGCCAUCUGGACCGACACUGACGCUGAGGCGCGAAAGCGUGGGGAGCAAACAGGAUUAGACACCCUGGUAGUCCACGCCGUAAACGAUGAGUGCUAGACGUCGGGGGCCCUGGGCCUUCGGUGUCGCAGCCAACGCAUUAAGCACUCCGCCUGGGGAGUACGGCCGCAAGGUUAAAACUC
rnacentral:rRNA from 1 species